AGAGUUUGAUCCUGGUUCAGGAUGAAUGCUGGAGACAUGCUUUACACAUGUAAGCCAGUCGGGAAAUGGUGUUUCUAGUGGCGAACGAGUGAGAAGCGCGUAAGAACCUGCCCUUGGGAGGGGGACAACAGUUGGAAACAAUUACUAAUACCCAAUAGGAUAAGGAGCGAAAGGAGGAAUCUGCCCAAGGAGGGGCUCGCGUCUGAUUAGCUAGUUGGUGAGGUAAUAGCUUACCAAGGCGAUGAUAAGUAGCUGGUCCGAGAGGAUGAUCAGCCACACUAGGACUAAGACAAGGUCCCGACUCCUAUGGGAGGUAGUAAUGGGGAAUUUUCUGCAAUGGGAGAAAGCCUGAAGGAGCAAUACGGUGUGGAGGUAGAGGCCCCUAGGUCAUGAACUUCUUUUCCCAGAGAAGAAAAAAUGACAGUAUCCGGGGAAUAAGCAUCGACUAACUCUGUGGCAAAAGUCGCGGUAAGACAGAGGAUGCAAGCGUUAUCCGAAAUGAUUGGGAGUAAAGCGUAUGUAGGUGGCUUUUUAAGUUCGCUGUCAAAUACCAGAGCUCAACCCUGGACAGGUGGUGAAAACUACUAAGCUAGAGUACGGUAGGGGCAAAUGGAAUUUCCGAUGGAGCGAUAAAAUGCGUAGAGAUCGGAAGGAACACCAACGGUGAAAUCACUCUGGUGGGCCGACACUGACACUGAGAGAUGAAAGCUAGGGGAGAGAAUGGGAUUAGAGACCCCAGUAGUCCUAGCCGUAAAUAAUGGAUACUAAGUGGCUGUGUGUAUCGACCCUUGCAACACUGUAGCUAAUGCGUUAAGUAUCCCGUCUGGGGAGUACGUUCGCAAGAAUGAAACUUAAAGGAAUUGACGGGGGCCCGCAUAAGCGAGGAGUGCCUUCGUGACGGAAAUGCGACACAGGUGGUGCAUGGCUGUCGUCAGCUCGUGCCGUGAGGUGUUGGGUUAAGUCCCACAACGAACGCAACGCUCGUGUUUAGUUGCGAACAUUUAGUUUGGAACUCUGAAUAGACUGUCAGUGAUAAGUCGGAGCUCAGGUACGAGGUGUGCAUUUGAGCCAUAUCAUAAUCGCAAAAUUGAAUUAAGUCUAUAUCUGGUACCCAUUUGAAAUUGGAAUGUGUCUAAGUUGUAUCAAAAUCAUAUAGAAGCGUUAAGUUUGUUUCAGAUACACAUUGAGGCACACGAUGUUUUUAAUUUGCAUGGGGAUUGUAGAAAUGCGUUAAGUUUGUAUCAGAUACACAAUCAGGUGUAGAAUGUGCU
rnacentral:rRNA from 1 species